AGUAACGGCGAGUGAAGCGGCAACAGCUCAAAUUUGAAAUCUGGCCCCCCCCCGGGGGGCCCGAGUUGUAAUUUGCAGAGGAUGCUUUGGGCGAGGCGCCUUCCGAGUUCCCUGGAACGGGACGCCACAGAGGGUGAGAGCCCCGUCUGGUCGGACGCCGAGCCUCUGUAAAGCUCCUUCGACGAGUCGAGUAGUUUGGGAAUGCUGCUCAAAAUGGGAGGUAUAUGUCUUCUAAAGCUAAAUACCGGCCAGAGACCGAUAGCGCACAAGUACAGUGAUGGAAAGAUGAAAAGCACCUUGAAAAGGGGGUUAAACAGUACGUGAAAUUGUUGAAAGGGAAGCGCUCGU
rnacentral:rRNA from 1 species